rnacentral:rRNA from 1 species
AUUGAACGCUGGCGGCAUGCCUUACACAUGCAAGUCGAACGGCAGCGGGCCUUCGGGUGCCGGCGAGUGGCGAACGGGUGAGUAAUGCAUCGGAACGUGCCAUUGAGUGGGGGAUAACGUAGCGAAAGUUGCGCUAAUACCGCAUAUUCUGUGAGCAGGAAAGCAGGGGGACCGCAAGGCCUUGCGCUCUUUGAGCGGCCGAUGUCAGAUUAGCUAGUUGGUGAGGUAAAGGCUUACCAAGGCGACGAUCUGUAGCGGGUCUGAGAGGAUGAUCCGUCACACUGGAACUGAGACACGGUCCAGACUCCUACGGGAGGCAGCAGUGGGAAUUUUGGACAAUGGGGGCAACCCUGAUCCAGCCAUGCCGCGUGAGUGAAGAAGGCC